AACGAACGCUGGCGGCAUGCCUAACACAUGCAAGUCGAACGAGACCUUCGGGUCUAGUGGCGCACGGGUGCGUAACGCGUGGGAACCUGCCCUUAGGUUCGGAAUAACUCCCCGAAAGGGGUGCUAAUACCGGAUAAUGUCUUCGGACCAAAGAUUUAUCGCCUUUGGAUGGGCCCGCGUUGGAUUAGCUAGUUGGUAGGGUAAAAGCCUACCAAGGCGACGAUCCAUAGCUGGUCUGAGAGGAUGGGCAGCCACACUGAGACUGAGACACGGCCCAGACUCCUACGGGAGGCAGCAGUGGGGGAUAUUGGACAAUGGGCGAAAGGAUGAUGCAGCAAGGCCGCGUGAGUGAUGAAGGCCUUAGGGUUGUAAAGCUCUUUUACCCGGGAUGAUAAUGACAGUACCGAGAGAAUAAGCUCCGGCUAACUCCGUG
rnacentral:rRNA from 1 species